UAGAGGUGAAAUUCGUAGAUAUUGGGAAGAACACCAGUGGCGAAGGCGACUACCUGGCACAGUAUUGACGCUGAUGUGCGAAAGCGUGGGGAGCGAACAGGAUUAGAUACCCUGGUAGUCCACGCCGUAAACGAUGUGCACUAGUUUGGUGGAGAUCUGACUCUCUGCCAGACGCCGAGAAAUCAUUAAGUGCACCGCCUGGGGAGUACGGUCGCAAGAUUAAAACUCAAAGGAAUUGACGGGGGCCCGCACAAGCGGUGGAGCAUGUGGUUUAAUUCGA
rnacentral:rRNA from 9 species